GUAAAUCUUCUAUUUUAAGCUACUGAGAUUGGCUUCUACAGGAUAACCUACCUUAUCCUGACUGAGCAUCGCUGUAGGAUUAAUGCAAGUUUUAAGUGAAAUAAGGACACAGGAAAUGAAAGCAUAGGUGGUCCGUUCCAAGAUGGCCAGAUAGGAACAGCUCCGGUCUCCAGCUCCCAGCAUGAUUGACACGGAAGACAGGUGAUUUCUGCAUUUCCAGCUGAGGUACAUGGUUCAUCUCAUUGGGACCGGUUGGACAGUGGGUGCAGCCCAUGGAGGGCAAGCCAAAGCGGGGGGGGCAUCACCGCACCUGGGAAGUGCAAGGGGUCGGGGAUUUCCCUUUCCUAGCCAAGGGAAGCUGUGACAUACCGUACCUGGAAAAAUGGGACAUUCCCACCUAAAUACUGCUUUUCCAAUGGUUUAAGCAAAUGGCACACCAGGAGAUUAUAUCCCAUGUCUGAGUCGGAGGGUCCUAUGCUGGCAGAGCCUUGCUCACUGCUAGCACAGCAGUCUGAGAUCAACCUGUGAGGCAGCAGCCUGGCAGGGGGAGGGGCGUCCGCCAUUGCUGAGGCUUGAGUAGGUAAACAAAGCAGCCAGGGAAGCCCAAACUGGGUGGAGGACACCACAGCUCAGCAAGGCCUGCUACCUCUGUUGAUUCCACCUCUGAGGGCAGGGCAUAGCUGAACAAAAGGCAGCAGAAACUUUUGCAGAAUUAAACGUCCCUGUCUGACAGCUCUGAAGAGAGCAGUGGUUCUCCCAGCAUGGCAUUUGAGCUCUGAGAAUGGGCAGACUGCCUCCUCCUGACCCCGUGUAGCCUAACUGGGAGACCCCUCCCAGUAGGGGCUGACUGACACCUCAUACAGGCAGGUAUCCCUCUGAAACGAAGCUUCCAGAGGAAGGAUCAGGCAGCAAUAUUUGCUGUUCUGCAAUAUUUGCUGUUCUGCAGCCUCCGCUGGUGAUACCCAGGCAAACAGGGUCUGGAGUGGACCUCCAGCAAACUCCAACAGACCUGCAGCUGAGGGACCUGAAAGGAAUACCAUCAACAUCAACAAAAAGGACAUCAACACCAAAACCCCAUCUGUAGGUCACCGACAUCAAAGACCAAAGGUAGAUAAAACCACAAAGACAAGGAGAAACAAGAGCAGAAAAGCUGAAAAUUCUAAAAACCAGAGUGCCUCUUAUCUUCCAAAGGACUGCAGCUCUUCGUCAGCGAUGAAACAAAGCUGGAUGGAGAAUGACUUUGACGAGUUGACAGAAGGAGCCUUCAGAAGGUCGGUAAUAACAAACUUCUCUGAGCUAAAGGAGGAUGUUCAAA
rnacentral:lncRNA from 1 species